rnacentral:rRNA from 1 species
AGCGAACGCUGGCGGCAGGCUUAACACAUGCAAGUCGAGCGGGCAUCCUUGUGGUGUCAGCGGCAGACGGGUGAGUAACGCGUGGGAACGUGCCCUUCGGUUCGGAAUAACUCAGGGAAGCUUGAGCUAAUACCGGAUACGUGCGAGAGCAGAAAGGUUUAUCUGCCGAAGGAUCGGCCCGCGUCUGAUUAGCUAGUUGGUGAGGUUAUGGCUCACCAAGGCGACGAUCAGUAGCUGGUCUGAGAGGAUGAUCAGCCACACUGGGACUGAGACACGGCCCAGACUCCUACGGGAGGCAGCAGUGGGGAAUAUUGGACAAUGGGGGCAACCCUGAUCCAGCCAUGCCGCGUGAGUGAUGACGGCCUUAGGGCUGUAAAGCUCUUUUCUCCGGGACGAUAAUGACGGUACCGGAGGAAUAAGCCCCGGCUAACUUCGUG